CAUACGUGGCUGCAUUUAUACAGCGCCCAGGGUUUGCAGGGUCCUUCCAUACUUGGCAGGCAUGUGGUAGUCUGCAUAUAUGUGAUUUCGUUGACUGGCUGAGGGGCUGAGGCAGUAGCACGCUCUAGUGACUAACCACUGGGGACGACGGGCGUGGUGUUUAUACUUUCAUACCUGGCACCACCGUUCACACACUUAUGUUGGAUUUUCAGAUUCAUCAGAUGAACUUAAGAGUUGCCCAGCUCUGAAGAGAUUGUAUUUUGGACAAGAACAAUGGAAGCAGAAUUUGUAAAUUAUUUAUAAAUUUUAGGACUUUGUUUUCAGUCAUGUAAACCAGACUUUACCAAAAAGAGAAAGACGUGAAGACAGAGGAACAUUUGAACAGCUGCACGCGCUGCCUGGUGCUCAGCUCCUGCAGUCUCGGGUCCUUCUCCCUCCACGCGUUGUUUCUCGCCUGCGUCCCCUCCGGCCCUCACCCAGGCCAGCCUGCUGCGAGUGUGUGUUUGCCGGCAUUCCCAAACAUUGCGAGAUACUGCUGCUGCGUUAGUAUUUGGGUUACAGGAGGAACUGGUGACGUUGAGUGGACGAUGAUUCUUGCAUGACAAUCACGCUUCAGCCAGCAGACAGAGAAAUGCAGAUCCAUUGUAAAAUCUGAACAAGUUUCGCUGACGCUCUGAAAAGUACUGUUUUCUCCUUGAGCCCAAGUGACACUUUGUCAGAAAUGGAGUGCCAAUUUUAUUCACUAUUUCAAGCCAGUCACACUGGGGAGGGGCUCUGGAGCCAUCGCCCCUUCCCUUCCCAUCCUCCCACCUCCUGACACGCUGGGAAGUUACAAAAGGAGAUGCCACAGGCAAUCCAGUCACGUUCUGAAUUAUCCACUCUGUCCUAUCCUCGUGGGUCAAAUAUAAGAGUAUAAGGAAGGAUGCAUUAUAUUUUA